rnacentral:ribozyme from 14 species
CUACUUCAACAGAAUCAGAGUAGGAUAGAAAGGGAUGAAAUACUUGUUCUCAAGAAAAAAAGAACAAAGAAGUCCAGUUCUAUAUCCCUGUUUUUUUUUUUUCUUCCUCUUCUUUCUUCUUUUAUUGUGCACACGUCCACUCUCUCUUUCUUUGUGUAGUCGAGUAGUUAAAUUAGAUGAGCACACUUUCACACAAUAAGAUAAUAUUUAUAUUAAUCCCGGGAGCAAAGAGGGAAAAAAAAGGAAAAAAAA